rnacentral:misc_RNA from 1 species
CCUCAAGUGCAGUCUUGCCCAAUCUCACAAGCGCUACUGCCGUAGGCAGCACAGCGCAGUCAGUUGGAAGGCCAAGAUGCUGGCGGUUGUGGUGGUCACUUGCCUCGCCGUGCUGGCGUCGGGGAGACAGGCCGAUGGCCUGACCCUCGGGGAACCAGGUCGCGCAUCGGACAAGGUUGGGGCCGCGCUGCAGGAUGAAGAUCUCUAUUCCAUUCCACAAGGAUUUCUUCUGGGUGCCGGAGUGUCGGCGUGCCAAGCUGAAGGGGCGUGGGACGCGGACGGUAAGGCUGAGAGCGUCUUAGAUCGUAUGGCCCACGUCAAGAACAAUCCGGUUUUCCACAGUAGCCCUGAUGUAUCGUCUAAUCAUUAUCACCGCUACAAGGAAGACUUGGCGAUGGCAAAGGACAUGAAGUUCACAUCACACCGUUUCUCCAUCUCCUGGUCUCGCGUGCUUCCCAAGGGAGAUACCAGCCACGUCAACCAGGAAGGUGUCCGUUUCUACCAUGACUACAUUGACGAGAUCAAGCGCUUAGGCAUGGAGCCAAUGGUGACGAUGCUGCACUUCGAUCAGCCGUACACACUGGAAGUGGAGACGGGAGGUUGGACCAAGCCAGCGAUGGUGGAUAAAUACGUCGAGUACGCCGGUUUUCUCUUUGCCGAGUUUGGCAGCAAGGUGAAAUACUGGACCACAGUCAACGAGCCCAACAUGUACUGCAACUACUUCCCCACCGUCAUGAACUUGUCGGGGCUGGCACCGAAGGAUGAUAUGAAUAUUUACAAGUGUAUGCACAAUAUGGUCAUUGCGCACAUGAAAACGUACCGCUUGUAUAAGGAGAAGUACUACAAGGACCAGCAAGGCUUCGUGGGCACCUCCGCGCUGCUGUGGCCGUCCAUUCCCGCGACCACCAGCGCCGAGGACGUCGUGGCCGCCGACACCUUCAACACAGUCUUCGCCGGGACCGUGCUCCACCCGCUGGUGUACGGCGACUAUCCUCCGCUCACGCGCUACAUCGUCGACAGCCGGUCCAAGGCGUUGGGGCUCGCCGAGUCUCGUCUCCCGGAAUUCACCCCAGAGGAAAAGGAGCAGCUGGUUGGAACCACGGACUUCAUCGCACUCAACGUUUACAGCAGCUUCGUUGCAGCGUAUGACCUGGACGGUUCAGGCGGCGAAGUAACGCCCGCCCUUCUUGGGCCCAUCAUGGACGACAUGGCGUUCCUCAAGCUGUCCGGUGGAAUGGCGAGCUUCAACACGACUGAUGCCUCCAUGAUGCGUACGACACUUCUGUGGGCUUGGAAUGCUUACCACGUGCCCAUCGUCAUCGCGGAGAACGGCUUUGGCGACAUGACCGGUGUGGGCCUUCGAGACAGCGCCCGUCGAAUCUUCGAUCACUCCUUCAGACUAUGAAGCAGUUUGACGUGAAAGUGAUUGCUUAUUAUGUAUGGGCACUUCUCGACGUCUUUGAGUUCUCUGCGGGAUACGAUGAGCGCCCUUUUGGACUGAUUCAAGUUGAUUACAAGGAUGCCUCAUUAAAGAGGACGCUGAAAGACUCAUCUCAAUUUUUCGUCGAAAUUGGCAACACCGGCAGAGUCCCGUACAUUGCGCCACCCCUAAACUCAGCAUCU